rnacentral:lncRNA from 10 species
AGCCUUUUGUCCCUCUGGGCAGUCUUUUGGUGGACCUAAGUCACCCCCUGGUUCAUUCUUGCAUAAGAUCUGCACCUGGUCCUUGGGCUCCAUCCAUGCAUGUUUUUAGGCCCUCCCAGCACAGCAGAAAUCUCUCCUCGACCAGCUCUGAAGAGCAGCUGACCAGCUCAGUUCCCAUCUCUCCUGAUCCCUGGUCAAGAGGCAGAGGCUCACAAAACAUCAGCAGUU